rnacentral:rRNA from 1 species
UUGAACGCUGGCGGUAUGCCUAACACAUGCAAGUCGAACGAGGUAGCAAUACCUAGUGGCGGACGGGUGAGGAAUACGUAGGGAUCUGCCCUUAAGUGGGGGAUAACCCGGGGAAACCCGGAUUAAUACCGCAUGAUCUCGAAAGAGCAAAGAGGGGGACCGCAAGGCCUCUCGCUUUUGGAGGAACCUACGUCGGAUUAGCUAGUUGGUGAGGUAACGGCUCACCAAGGCGACGAUCCGUAACUGGUCUGAGAGGAUGAUCAGUCACACCGGAACUGAGACACGGUCCGGACUCCUACGGGAGGCAGCAGUGGGGAAUAUUGGACAAUGGGCGAAAGCCUGAUCCAGCAAUACCGCGUGUGUGAAGAAGGCCUUCGGGUUGUAAAGCACUUUAAGUUGGGAAGAAAAAGCUUCACCUAAUACGUGGAGCCUUGACGGUACCGACAGAAUAAGCACCGGCUAACUCUGU